UACAGAGGUCUCAAGCGUUUGUUCGGAUUCAUUGGGCGUAAAGGGUGCGUAGGUGGCGCUGUAAGUCGGGUGUGAAAUUUCGGAGCUUAACUCCGAAACUGCAUUCGAUACUGCGGUGCUUGAGGACUGGAGAGGAGACUGGAAUUCAUGGUGUAGCAGUGAAAUGCGUAGAGAUCAUGAGGAAGACCAGUGGCGAAGGCGGGUCUCUGGGCCGAUACUGACGCUGAGGAGCGAAAGCGUGGGGAGCGAACAGG
rnacentral:rRNA from 1 species